AUUAUGCUUGAUGAAAAUUUUUUAUCGUGGCCGUACUGGUGAUCCAAACAACAGUGUCUACAAAAACUUCCUUCCCCAACAAAAUCACCGAAACUUGGUAAGCGGUUCUGCAUUCUGGCCAGCAUUGGCAUUGGACUCUGUCUGCUGGCCCUCCUGCUCAUCCUCUGUCUGGAGAGAUACUCGUGGGAGAUACAGUACAUUGUCCCACUUGCAAUAUUCUUAAUCGGUCUCUGCUUUGGAGUGGCUGCAAUUCUGACACUGUUUGACGUCUGCUGAGAGGAAAACCAAAUUUUUACCUGAUAUCAAAGUUCAUGAUGUCAGAAAAAGAC